CGGACGGGUGAGUAACGUCUGGGAGACUGCCUGAUGGAGGGGGGUAACUACUGGAAACGGUAGCUAAUACCGCAUAACGUCGCAAGACCAAAGAGGGGGACCUUAGGGCCUCUUGCCAUCGGAUGUGCCCAGAUGGGAUUAGCUAGUAGGUGGGGUAACGGCUCACCUAGGCGACGAUCCCUAGCUGGUCUGAGAGGAUGACCAGCCACACUGGAACUGAGACACGGUCCAG
rnacentral:rRNA from 1 species